rnacentral:rRNA from 1 species
UAGGGAAUCUUCCGCAAUGGGCGAAAGCCUGACGGAGCAACGCCGCGUGAGUGAUGAAGGCCUUCGGAUUGUAAAACUCUGUUAUUAGGGAAGAACAAAUGUGUAAGUAACUAUGCACGUCUUGACGGUACCUAAUCAGAAAGCCACGGCUAACUACGUGCCAGCAGCCGCGGUAAUACGUAGGUGGCAAGCGUUAUCCGGAAUUAUUGGGCGUAAAGCGCGCGUAGGCGGUUUUUUAAGUCUGAUGUGAAAGCCCACGGCUCAACCGUGGAGGGUCAUUGGAGACUGGAAAACUUGAGUGCAGAAGAGGAAAGUGGAAUUCCAUGUGUAGCGGUGAAAUGCGCAGAGAUAUGGAGGAACACCAGUGGCGAAGGCGACUUUCUGGUCUGUAACUGACGCUGAUGUGCGAAAGCGUGGGGAUCAAACAGG